UUUUCCUAAUAGUACUGGCAUGUGUUUAUCUAACAAUGGUAUUUAAAAAAAUCAUUGCUACAAGAAUGGCAUUAAUUUUGUGGACAUGAAUAUAGAGUUUUAUGUAAAUACUGUGUACUGCAUACAUUAGUACAGGUCCCUAUAAUCUCUUGUGACUCUUAUUACAGCUGCAUAACGUUCACACUCACCGCACUAAGGGAGUAUCUAAGUUUUCUAUUGGGUAGUGUCACAGUAAACACUCUGAAGGAGUAAUUUGUAUGUUGUAUUAUACCAGUGUCUGUGUAUAUAAUGUUAAGUGCGUGUACUGAUAGUAUUAAGGGAGAACUCAAGGUACUGUUGUAUGUUGUAUUAUACCAGUGUCUGUGUAUAUAAUGUUAAGUGUGUGUACUGAUAGUAUUAAGGUCAGUUAUUUUGUAUGGAGAAGAGACCUUCAUUUAUGGGAGAAGGUCAGUUAUGUUUGUGUGGUGCUGUGACCUUAAUUCCUUGGGAAGGUCAACUAUUUUUGUAUUGUCACAGAGUGCAGUAUUUUAAUUAUGUCUAAAAUAAUUACACUGCUAGACUAAACUCACACUGGUAGACUAAUCUGACACUGCUGGACCAAACUCACACUGCUAGACUAAACUUACAGUGCUAGACUAAACUCACACUGCUAGCCAAACUUACACUGCUAGACUAAACUCACACUGCUAGACUAAACUCACACUGCUAGACUAAUCUGACACUGCUGGACCAAACUCUCACUGCUAGACUUCUUUGCCAGCUCCCCAAAGAACAACUACACAUACUGUCCUGCGGUCUGGUGGCAGCGACCCUAAGUUAAGAAGUAAACCCUAGUAUUAAGUGACCAAUUAAAGGGCAGUAUAACUGUAUACACUUGGCCAUGAUGUUCCCCAAACAUAAAUAUCUUACAGAAUGAGAUAUAAGUAUUUAAACUA